CGGCGAACGGUCGCGUAACACGUAAGCAACCUGCCCGAAAGACCGGGACAACAGUUCGAAAGGGCUGCUAAUACCGGAUGUGGCCGAAGGAAGGAUUCUUCUUUCGUCUAAAUCAUUUAUGGCUUUCGGAGGGGCUUGCGGCCUAUCAGCUAGAUGGCGGGGUAACGGCUCACCAUGGCGACGACGGGUAGCUGGUCUGAGAGGAUGGUCAGCCGGACUGGGACUGAGAUACGGCCCAG
rnacentral:rRNA from 1 species